rnacentral:rRNA from 1 species
AUACGUAGGGGGCGAGCGUUGUCCGGAAUGAUUGGGCGUAAAGGGCGCGUAGGCGGCCCGGUAAGUCUGGAGUGAAAGUCCUGUUUUUAAGAUGGGAAUUGCUUUGGAUACUGUCGGGCUUGAGUGCAGGAGAGGUAAGUGAAAUUCCCAGUGUAGCGGUGAAAUGCGUAGAGAUUGGGAGGAACACCAGUGGCGAAGGCGACUUACUGGACUGUAACUGACGCUGAGGCGCGAAAGUGUGGGGAGCAAACAGGAUUAGAUACCCUGGUAGUCCACACUGUAAACGAUGAAUGCUAGGUGUAGGGGGUAUCGACCCCUUCUGUGCCGCAGUCAACACAAUAAGCAUUCCGCCUGGGGAGUACGGCCGCAAGGUUGAAACUCAAAGGAAUUGACGGGG